ensembl:lncRNA
GGAGAUUGCUCCUCUUGCAGCCCUUCUGUGAGCCCAGGACACAGGGAAUUAGAUGGGCUCUUAAGGGAGGUAAAGUUGCUCUUCUUUGGAUUUUGCUGAGGUUACCACUUGGUGAAAGAAAGGAAAUAAAGGAACACCCUUUCCACUAGGAUAAUCCUUGAAAACAGAGCUUUGCAUGCUACAGUAUGUAUGUAGAAUCAUAGAACUGACUGUACCUGGUAAGCAAUAGGCAGCAAGUCAUUUCAGCAAGAGGAUUAUUUGCUAUAGACAGAAAACCUAUGAGCUGCUCACGAAAUAGGAAAUAUGUUAUUUAAAAAGUGGCCUCCAAGGGAACGUUUGAGGUGAAGAAGAGGUUAUGUCACAG